AUCCAGUUGAGCUCCGCUGGUCCGGUGUGCAGGCUUCAAACCUGUAGAUGACUAACGUCAGAGUGGUUCGACUUCACUUGGUGGGCG